GCUGGCAACUCCAUUCAGUCAGGCCAUGUCGUCACUUGCGAGGAAGCUCGAAGACUUUCGACAGAGCCGCGGUUUUGGCACUUGAGCAGUCACGCAGGGUCUCCGGCAAAGGCUUCCCAAACGACUCCGGCAGCAGGAGAGAGAUGAAGGCUCCGCAAAUGGCCAAAGCUCCCAUCAGGAUAUGACAAAGGGCGAGCGAGAUGAUGGACGUUGGACGUACCGAGGUAGAUGAUGAAGGGCGAGAUGAUGGUCCCUACUCGAGCCGCCAUGGAGCAGCAGCCCAUGGCCGUGUUCCUGAUGACGGUGGGGAAGAGCUCGGACGUGACGGCGUACACGAUGCAGAAGGCCGCCGUCACGCCGAAUUUGCCCAGCAUCUCCAGCAGCACGGCCACCCACGGAAGAUCUGAGCCACGCGAGCGUCUCGUCAGCAAUGAUGGUUGAAUUUGCUAAAAGUGGUGCGUACGGAAGACUCGCGUUACCUAUGGGAAUGAGGUGCACGCACAGGAUCAUGACUCCGCCCAUCAUUAGCGUGGUCGACUGGCACAGGCGGCGGUAGCAAAAGUGCAGCAGCAACAGAGCGAUCAGGUAGGCGGGAACUUCCGUCACCGCCGACAGGAAGGCGUUGAGGUACGGGUCUCCGUGAAGGUUGGACGUGUUGAGGAUCAACGCGUAGUAGCUGAUGGUGAUGACGAACCUGCGCGAGUCGUGUAUGUCCGACCGAGUCAAUCUUUUCUCAUCUUGUGAUUUUGUGGUGAUUUGCGACCGACUGGAAAUGUGCUUUGACUUACCACAGAAUUGAACACAACAGGUUGAUGGUGAAAAUGUUGCAGUUGCGCAAGAUGGAGCCAAUGUUGUAUUUCUUGUCUUUCAACAGCAUUGCAUUCUCAAUCUGGAACAGAAACUCAAUCCCUUUGCGAUUGUUUUUACAAUCAAAGUACAGAAAUUUGCCAUACGCGGCUCCAAUUUAAGGCUCGUGCUAAAACCACCUUUCCACGUUUUGAGACUCUUACCUCAGCCUCUGUGAAAAUGGCCUUGGGCGGGGCAAUUUUAUUCAUCCUGGCAGCGUCCAUCAGGAUGCUCUCGGCCUCCGCCACUCGGCCCUGGGACAGCAGCCAGCGUGGCGACUCGGGGGGAUGUAGAUCAGUCCACAGGCGGCCAUGGGGAUCAGCAGCAUCCGCCAGGAGCGCAGGAAGUAUGCCACGGGUGGCAUGAGCAUGUAGCCUAUGGCCGAGCUCAUGAAAACUCCCAGGGAGCAGAAGACCAC